rnacentral:lncRNA from 13 species
CUGUAGAUCCCUGUAGCCAACUGGGACCAGGCUAAGGUCAAGUCUAAGGAUUAUACUGUAGAUCCCUGUAGCCAACUGGGACCAGGCUAAGGUCAAGUCUAAGGAUUAUACUGUAGAUCCCUGUAGCCAACUGGGACGAGGCUAAGGUCAAGUCUAAGGAUUUCCAACUUUUACAACAUCAUCCUCUUUCCCUACAUCGAUCUACCCAAGCACAAAUAUCCUCCUAAUAAUCUUCCUCUUCCUGACAUUCCAUAUUGUGUUGAUCCCACCCCUGUCAGGAGCUGAAGGAGAGGGAGCUGUUCCUGGACACCUGCCACCGGCGCCUGGACCAGGGUCUGCCCCCCUCUGAAGACCUGGAGCAGGAGUGGCAACACAUCCUCAGGGAUGAGCAGCGCAGACAGGCCGACCAGCAGGAGAAAGACAGGCUGGUGGAGGAGGAGGAGAGGUCCCAGCUCCCUAGUGGGGUGUACACCACGGCCGAGGCCCGACCCAACGCCUACAUCCCCCUGGGGGACACCCUGCCCCUGCCCAAGCCCUACGGAGCCCUGGCCCCCUUCAAACCCUCCGAGCCCGGCACCAACAUCAGACACAUUCGCAAGCCUGAACCAAAACCCAUUGAGAUAUAGACCUGGACCAAACCCAUUGAGAUAUACUGUAGACCUGGACCAAACCCAUUGAGAUAUACUAUAGACCUGGACCAAAUAUAUUGAGAUGUAGACCUGGACCAAACCCAUUGAGAUAUAGACCUGGACCAAACCCAUUGAGAUAUACUGUAGACCUGGACCAAACCCAUUGAGAUAUACUGUAGACCUGGACCAAACCCAUUGAUAUAUACUGUAGACCUGGACCAAACCCAUUGAGAUAUACUGUAGACCUGGACCAAACCCAUUGNNNNNNNNNNCCGAGCCCGGCACCAACAUCAGACACAUUCGCAAGCCUGAACCAAAACCCAUUGAGAUAUAGACCUGGACCAAACCCAUUGAGAUAUACUGUAGACCUGGACCAAACCCAUUGAGAUAUACUAUAGACCUGGACCAAAUAUAUUGAGAUGUAGACCUGGACCAAACCCAUUGAGAUAUAGACCUGGACCAAACCCAUUGAGAUAUACUGUAGACCUGGACCAAACCCAUUGAGAUAUACUGUAGACCUGGACCAAACCCAUUGA